rnacentral:rRNA from 1 species
GACGAACGCUGGCGGCGUGCUUAACACAUGCAAGUCGAACGGAAAGGCCCUGCUUUUGUGGGGCGCUCGAGUGGCGAACGGGUGAGUAACACGUGAGUAACCUGCCCUUGACUUUGGGAUAACUUCAGGAAACUGGGGCUAAUACCGGAUAGGAGCUCCUGCUGCAUGUUGGGGGUUGGAAAGUUUCGGCGGUUCGGGAUGGACUCGCGGCUUAUCAGCUUGUUGGUGGGGUAGUGGCUUACCAAGGCUUUGACGGGUAGCCGGCCUGGGAGGGUGACCGGCCACAUUGGGACUGAGAUACGGCCCAGACUCCUACGGGAGGCAGCAGUGGGGAAUAUUGCACAAUGGGCGGAAGCCUGAUGCAGCAACGCCGCGUGCGGGAUGACGGCCUUCGGGUUGUAAACCGCUUUCGCCUGUGACGAGGCGUGAGUGACGGUAAUGGGUAAAGAAGCACCGGCUAACUACGUG